rnacentral:rRNA from 1 species
AGAGUUUGAUCCUGGCUCAGAUUGAACGCUGGCGGCAGGCUUAACACAUGCAAGUCGAGCGGUAGCACAAGGGAGCUUGCUCCCUGGGUGACGAGCGGCGGACGGGUGAGUAAUGUCUGGGAAACUGCCUGAUGGAGGGGGAUAACUACUGGAAACGGUAGCUAAUACCGCAUAACGUCGCAAGACCAAAGAGGGGGACCUUCGGGCCUCUUGCCAUCAGAUGUGCCCAGAUGGGAUUAGCUAGUAGGUGGGGUAAUGGCUCACCUAGGCGACGAUCCCUAGCUGGUCUGAGAGGAUGACCAGCCACACUGGAACUGAGACACGGUCCAGACUCCUACGGGAGGCAGCAGUGGGGAAUAUUGCACAAUGGGCGCAAGCCUGAUGCAGCCAUGCCGCGUGUGUGAAGAAGGCCUUCGGGUUGUAAAGCACUUUCAGUCGUGAGGAAGGUAGUGUAGUUAAUAGCUGCAUUAUUUGACGUUAGCGACAGAAGAAGCACCGGCUAACUCCGUGCCAGCAGCCGCGGUAAUACGGAGGGUGCGAGCGUUAAUCGGAAUUACUGGGCGUAAAGCGCAUGCAGGUGGUUUGUUAAGUCAGAUGUGAAAGCCCGGGGCUCAACCUCGGAAUAGCAUUUGAAACUGGCAGACUAGAGUACUGUAGAGGGGGGUAGAAUUUCAGGUGUAGCGGUGAAAUGCGUAGAGAUCUGAAGGAAUACCGGUGGCGAAGGCGGCCCCCUGGACAGAUACUGACACUCAGAUGCGUAAGCGUGGGGAGCAAACAGGAUUAGAUACCCUGGUAGUCCACGCCCUAAACGAUGUCAACUAGUUGUUGGGGAUUCAUUUCCUUAGUAACGUAGCUAACGCGUGAAGUUGACCGCCUGGGGAGUACGGUCGCAAGAUUAAAACUCAAAGGAAUUGACGGGGACCCGCACAAGCGGUGGAUGAUGUGGAUUAAUUCGAUGCAACGCGAAAAACCUUACCUACCCUUGACAUGCCACUAACGAAGCAGAGAUGCAUUAGGUGCUCGAAAGAGAAAGUGGACACAGGUGCUGCAUGGCUGUCGUCAGCUCGUGUCGUGAGAUGUUGGGUUAAGUCCCGCAACGAGCGCAACCCUUGUCUCUAGUUGCUACGAAAGGGCACUCUAGAGAGACUGCCGGUGACAAACCGGAGGAAGGUGGGGAUGACGUCAAGUCCUCAUGGCCCUUAUGGGUAGGGCUUCACACGUCAUACAAUGGUGCAUACAGAGGGUUGCCAAGCCGCGAGGUGGAGCUAAUCCCAGAAAAUGCAUCGUAGUCCGGAUCGUAGUCUGCAACUCGACUACGUGAAGCUGGAAUCGCUAGUAAUCGUAGAUCAGAAUGCUACGGUGAAUACGUUCCCGGGCCUUGUACACACCGCCCGUCACACCAUGGGAGUGGGUUGCAAAAGAAGUAGGUAGCUUAACCUUCGGGAGGGCGCUUACCACUUUGUGAUUCAUGACUGGGGUGAAGUCGUAACAAGGUAACC